AUGGCCGCCGGCGACGUCGCAACCGUCUUCCUGGAGAUGAGCCUCGGCACUCGCCUAGCCGUCUCCUUCCCCGCCGCAUCAACCACCGUCGCCGACCUCAAGCGCAGAGUGAGCCAUGAGCACGCCGCAUGUUUCCCCAACUAUGGCCAGAUCGCCGUCCAGUCCGUCAAGGUCGAGCAGGGAGGCUCGUGGUUCCACCUCGCCGACUCCAUGGCCGUCCGGGACGCGUUCCAGUUCCACGGGGCCAACGAAACCUGGCACCUCCAAGUAGACGCUCUGCCUCACCCUCAGCAUCUCGGCCAAGGAAUGGCCACCGAGGGACACUCCAAGGAUUCCUCUGCUGCUCACUCUGAACCAAGCUGUGAGAUGCUGGCUGACCAGGUUAAAGUUGAAGUUGGAGCGGACUCUGAACCAAGCUGUGAGAUGCUGACUGAUCAGGUUAAAGUUGAAGUUGGAGCGGAGGAGCCAUUGUCAGCCAAGGGCAAAAGGAGCAGCAACGGGACUGAUCCGAAGGGGUCGAAGGAAGCAGAGGCCACAUCAACAGAACAGGGGGCAUGUGAGAGGAAAAGGCUGCGGCCAAGGACCAGAGUUGGCAAAACACCCAUCACCAAGGCGGCGAACAGCAGCGGCAGCUCGGAGUCGGAGGAGAUGGACGUCAACACCGUCGGCGUCGACGCGCCGCCGUCGCAGUUCGUCGUCAUGCUCAAGGAAUGCCACUUUGUCACCAAGAACGGGCAGUACCUGAACGUGCCGCGGGAGUUCAGCGUGGCGCAUGGGUACGCGGAGAGGAAGAAGGUGCUGCUGCGGAUGGGGGGCGAGUCGUGGACGGUGAACCUGAAGCACGCCCACAAUGUGCGUGGCAAGGCCCGCACGUCGUUCCGGUACGGGUGGCACCAGUUCUGCGUCGACAACCACCUCCGCGUCGGCGAGACAUGCUUCUUCCGAGCGCUCGGCCAAGGCGGCGGCGACCGCCAUGUGCUCAAGGUGGAGGUGCGCAGGCUGGACGGCAGCUACGCCAGCUGA
rnacentral:rRNA from 1 species